rnacentral:lncRNA from 1 species
GGAUGUGCCUUCCAGCUACUUUUAAUGACUUCCUUCUCAGCAGGAGAGAUAUUUAUCCUCACUGCCAUGUCCUAUGACCGCUAUGUAGCCAUCUGCUGUCCCCUGAACUACGAGGUGAUUCAUGUGCCCAUUAGAGCUUGAGAAGCACUGCUUGGAAGCCCCUUCUGCCAUCAAUGAGCACCAUCCUCAGGAUCCCCUCUGCCAGUGGCCGGAGCAAAGCCUUCUCCACGUGCUCCUCGCAUCUCACCGUGGUGCUCAUUUGGUAUGGGUCCACAGUUUUCCUUCACGUCCGCACCUCUAUCAAAGAUGCCUUGGAUCUGAUCAAAGCUGUCCACGUCCUGAACACUGUGGUGACUCCAGUUUUAAACCCCUUCAUCUAUACGCUUCGUAAUAAGGAAGUAAGAGAGACUCUGCUGAAGAAAUGGAAGGGAAAAUAAAUCUCCUCUACCACAA